AUGCCAAGUAACUCCCACCCCCUUAGAUAGGCUAUAUGCUAGAUCUGAAAGUAUGAGAACUGAGAUUCUAGGCACUUUUCAAAGAGAGAAGGGAGGAGGAUCCGUGACCCAGGGAACACACAGUGUAGAAAUAGACAAGUUAACAAACAGAGGGUGGGCAGAGGAGAGAUUUAACAACUAUUAUAGAAAUAUGCUAACAGCAUUAUAGUGAGAUGGGGUUCAAUUUUACCACUUCAUACUUCCUCUAGAAACAGUAACCUGGUAGGUUCAGGGUAAUGUUGCUGGGACUGCAAUUAAGGAUUUGUGUAAUAUUGUUGGAGGAAGAAAGAAGAUCCCUGUGAGGCAGCAGAGACUGUGACUGUCAGUGGAAACCUGCUGUAUGGAAAUUCCUUUACGGUUAAACUGUGUCCCAUAACUUUACCCUCCAUUGCUUUUCUGUUCUCUGUGUGUGUGUUUAUAUGUGAGAGAUAUCAGCUUUGACUAUCCUUAACUGGAUUUAAACAACUGUUUUCUCUGUGGAAUCCUAUGCGUAAGGUGGAGUCUCUUUAUAUAACCGAGAUCUGUCUACCAGACUACAAGUGCAUUCGCAGUGCAAACCAUGCUAUGCUGCCAGAAACCAAGGGUUCUCUUCUGAUAGAAGAAGAAGAUGAAAAGUUGAACUGCAAAACAUUUCAGAACUGGGCUUGCUGCAGUUCCAGUGAAGCAUUCACCCACAAGGGCAGCUCCAGGAAACAACUCAUUUCUCUGGAAUACAAUUCCAAUUGCCACAAAGAGAGUUUAUGUAAAGAGGUUUAGCACGGUGACUGGACUAUACACACACACUGUGAUCUCGGAGGCUGUCUUUAAAGGGACCAAAGUUUCUCUAAUACCAAGAGAUCAAACCCCUUCUGAGCCCUCUGUCUCCAUUAUGAAGUCAGAAAAUGAGAGCAUUGCUGCUUGCCUGGUGAAAGAUUUCUACCCUAAGAAAUUGAAGAUAUUCAUGAAUUCUGACAGUCAAACUAUAUAUGAAGCAACAUCUAUCCUCACAUCUAGUGGGAAAUACAGUGCCGUCAAAGUUGCCAAGUUGUUCUCAAAUGAACCAGUAUCUUGCUCUGUUCAACAUAACAGCAAACUUAUUAAGAAAACCCAAACAGCUGAGAAGCUGCCAGAUUUCACAUCUCCUGCUCCUGAACCGUGCAACAUUUCAAACUCUACUCUCGAAGACAAGAAUGAGGAGAAAAGUGUGAAGACACUAUCCACGGCUCUGCUGGCUUUGGAAAUUGUGCUUGCAAAGAGCAUCAUCUUCAAUGUGCUCAUGACUGCAAGAUUAGUCUUUGAGGUUUGCAAGAAGGAGCGAGGACGGACCUGAGAAAUAAAGCUAAAUUUCUGUCAACUUUAAUUAUAUAUACUGCUUUUGAUACUGACAAUUAGUCAGCAUUUCUUGUUGCUAGGACUAAAUUUUUAACAAGCUAAUUUUGGUAACUGAAUAACAAUUGUAGAGUUACAACAACAACUUCGGAGUUAAGACUGAAGGAGAUUUUGUAUUCCCUCAAAUCUUUUCUUACCUUGUGGGGGCGGGGGGGAACAGCCCAUCUUUUAUUCAAAUCUGCCAUGUUUCUUAGGCUAGAAAAGUAAUAGAAUGUUUGACUGCUAACUUAUACUGAUUGUGCAAGAAUUUUUGGAAGAGCUGACUGUGAAAGAUGAUGGUCUUUUUAAACAUGUCUUCCGAUGUUUUUCAUUCAUGUACUUUCCUUUCCUAUUUUUAUACGAAAGCAAUGUUUUGUGUUUUGGUGCAUUUGCCUGCAUAAUAAAUUGUUGCACAACAAGAGUUGUUUCUUUUAACAAUAUUAAAUGAUUUUAACCUAUAAAUGGCAGAGAGACUUUCCCUCCAGAGGUGUUAGGUCCAAUCCAGCUUCAUGCUGCGGGGGAGACUUUCUGAUUUGAGGGAACAGGGAAUGGAAUAUGGGCCUUUCCUCUCUAGGGGGUGUCAGCUCCGAUCUGUGCCAAGGCAGGAAGACUGGCUGGCUCCGCGGGUGGGGAAUGAAAUACAAGACCUUUCCCGGCUGGGGGGUGUUGGUUUGAUUUUGCCCCAAGCCCGAGAGACUGGCUGGGGUGAGUGAGUAGGAUACAAGGCCUUUCUCCAGUCUGGCUGCUCACUGGAGGGACUAGAUGUGGGGCAAAGGCAGAAGUGAGGGAAUGGGAUUUGGAGACAAUUUUAAAAAAUGAAAACAAAGAAAUUAGUUUUUUUUUCUUUUGCUACAUGAAUAAAAUGACGUUUCUUCCCUCUUAACCAGAGUUCAUGAAACGCAGAUUGUUCUGGGUAUGAGCUUAUUGGCCCUCGUAAAUGUGGAU